GCGGGUGUAGCUCAGUGGUAGAGCGUCACGUUGCCAACGUGACUGUCGUCGGUUCGAAUCCGAUCACCCGCUCCA
rnacentral:tRNA from 1 species